GAAAUCAUCUUGCUUCAUUAGCCAACUGGAAUAAUGCAAAGACUACAAUGGCCCCUGCACAAGGACAACAUGAAAACUCAUGAAGCAGUGUGUAUUUUA
rnacentral:snRNA from 1 species